UACGGGGGGGGCAAGCGUUGUUCGGAAUUACUGGGCGUAAAGGGCUCGUAGGCGGCCAACUAAGUCAGACGUGAAAUCCCUCGGCUUAACCGGGGAACUGCGUCUGAUACUGGAUGGCUUGAGUUUGGGAGAGGGAUGCGGGAAUUCCAGGUGUAGCGGUGAAAUGCGUAGAUAUCAGGAGGAACACCUGUGGUGUAGACAGCUUACUGGACCAUAACUGACGCUGAGGCACGAAAGCGUGGGUAGCAAACAGG
rnacentral:rRNA from 1 species